rnacentral:rRNA from 1 species
GAUCAUGGCUCAGGAUGAACGCUAGCUACAGGCUUAACACAUGCAAGUCGAGGGGAAACGACAUCGAAAGCUUGCUUUUGAUGGGCGUCGACCGGCGCACGGGUGAGUAACGCGUAUCCAACCUGCCCACCACUUGGGGAUAACCUUGCGAAAGUAAGACUAAUACCCGAUGAUAUCUCUAGAAGGCAUCUGAAAGGGAUUAAAGAUUUAUCGGUGAUGGAUGGGGAUGCGUCUGAUUAGCUUGUUGGCGGGGUAACGGCCCACCAAGGCAACGAUCAGUAGGGGUUCUGAGAGGAAGGUCCCCCACAUUGGAACUGAGACACGGUCCAAACUCCUACGGGAGGCAGCAGUGAGGAAUAUUGGUCAAUGGGCGAGAGCCUGAACCAGCCAAGUAGCGUGCAGGACGACGGCCCUAUGGGUUGUAAACUGCUUUUAUAAGGGAAUAAAGUGAGUCUCGUGAGACUUUUUGCAUGUACCUUAUGAAUAAGGACCGGCUAAUUCCGUG